rnacentral:lncRNA from 1 species
AUGAUCAAUAAAUUAUUUAACACGUCCCGGGGAGCCGCGGCUCCGAGGCUGCACCGCGUGUGUUUCCUUCGCGGCCCCCGCCCCCCCCCCCCAGUCCCGGGCCCCGCGACCCGGACCCCUCGGCCGCCCGGGAGCCGGAGGAGCCGCGACGCCAGCGAGCGCCCAGCGCAGCGGGACGGGGACCGGACGGAGACGCGGCAGGUGGGCAGGUGCGCAGGCGGGCAGGUGCGGCGGCCUCCCGGGCUGCGGGCCGGCUCCGCGGCGGGGGCCUGGCAGGUGAGCAGCGCCGCCGCGUGCUGGGACCCGGGGCGGGCGAGGGGCGAGUCCCAGCUGCGGCUCCGCCCGCGGCCCGCAGCUCCCGGACCCUGCAGCGCCCGCGGCUCAGGCGGCCGCAGCCUCCUCGCUAGAAAUGGUCGUUCGACUCAUCCGGGCGCCAAAGGCAAACCCGAAGGAACCGCGCGCCCUCCGAGGGUCCGCUCGCACUGCCUCCUCCCCGGUGAGGCCCGGACGGCUCCGCGGGGGACGGGACCCGGGUCGGGGUGCAGGGAGCGCGGUGGGGGCGCAGGGACCGUGGUCGGGGCGCAGGGAGCGCGGUGGGGGCGCAGGGACCGUGGUCGGGGCGCAGGGAUCCCGGUCGGGGCGCAGGGACCUCGGUCGGGGCGCAGGGACCGCGGUCGGGGCGCAGGGACCGCGGUCGGGGCGCAGGGAGCGCGGUGCGGACGCAGGGAGCGUGGUGGGGGCGCAGGGACUCCAGUCGGGACGCAGGGAGUGCGGUCGGGGCGCGGGGCCGCGGUGGGGGCGCAGGGAUCCCGGUCGGGGCGCAGGGGCCGCGGUCGGGGCGCAGGGACCGCGGUCGGGGCACAGGGACCGCGGUGGGGGCGCAGGGGCCGCGGUCGGGGCGCAGGGACCGCGGUCGGGGCGCAGGGAGCGCGGUGGGGGCGCAGGGAUCCCGGUCGGGGCGCAGGGGCCGCGGUCGGGGCGCAGGGAGCGCGGUCGGGGCGCAGGGAUCGCGGUGGGGACGCAGGGAGUGUGGUGGGGGCGCAGGGACUCCAGUCGGGGCGCAGGGAGUGCGGUCGGGGCGCGGGGCCGCGGUCGGGGCGCAGGGACCGCGGUCGGGCGCAGGGAGCUCACCGGCAGGCCCCGCCGCAGGUCCGGCUGGGGGAAGACCUCGGGCCGGCGCUCCACGUGGUCGCAUCCUACUGA